AUGUGGGGCAGCAGUGCCGGCAGGGACGCCGGCCGGGAGCGGCCGGGAGUGGGAGCCGGGCGUGGAGCGCGAGCUGCUAGAGGCUCGCUGGGGCUCUGCUCCCCGCGGGAGCUAUUGUUGGUCUCGCCGGAGCUGAGCGCAGAGCCGGGACCUGCUCCUUCCUGGGCGCCCCGCUCCGGCUCGCGGAGCAGAGGAACCGCGCCGCCGAGAGCGAGAGGAGCCCCCGGCGCGGCGCCUUGCCUCUCUGCCGCCCUCCUACCCGCUUCCCCGGCGGUAGCAGCCUGCAGCCAUGAUGGAAAAACUGAGAAUCAGAGAGGGCUAGUGAUCUCUCGGACACUUGGUCAGUAGAAAAGAUCCUGCACCGUCCUCCAGGAUCCAAUGGCCUUGGGGAAAGGGCUGCAGGGCCCACGGACAUUGCUGACUCUUCGGAACGUGCUGACAUGGAGCCAG
rnacentral:lncRNA from 13 species